UGAGCUCCUCUUCGUUAGACCACCAUCACUGCCACUUCUAAACCCUCACACAUUCUCCAACACUACUAGGCUCAUUGCCUCUAUUGGCGUGAAGAACUUCUGGUCUACUUCACCAACCGGCGGCGUCAGAAUUAAUGUCGAAGACGAGCUAUAAGCCGGCGACGAUGACGGUUUGGACAAGUUCGGGUUCAGUGAUGGUGCAAAUCAUAGAAUCUAGUAGUCUAAUGAUAACGAAGAUAGUUGGAUCAAUGAUGAUGAGGAGAAUGAGUUAUGGAUUUUCAAGGUAAUUAGACCUUUCGGUUGGAUGGUUCCUGCCAUUGGUACUUCAUUGCUACUGGGAAUAGGCCCUAAAUCUUUCUUCAUUGCAUUAGCUGUUCCAUUAGGACUGGCAACACUCUCUCUUUUGUGAUUGAUAAGAUGUGGGAAGUAAACCAGGAGGACUAAGAAGUUUGGUGGGUGGGAUGAGCUAGAUAUGCUGAUAAGGUUCCAAGAGAGACAACAAGAAAGAAGGCAGAUGAGCUCCCAAAGCAACAAAACAAAGGCAAAUUGAGCCGGACAAGAAGUGUCAGGGACACACUAUUACUGCUUAGGCUACUGAUUGCUGUUUUUCCCUUAUUGGGCUCUUGGCAAAGUUACUAUUUUGGUUCUGUUUUGCCCUUUGUAGAACCUAAGCAACCUAUUUGCUUACAAGUGGUUACAGAGAAACUUGUCACCAGUUUGCAGGGAUAGUUGACCAUUUAACUCUAGAGGCUUUUGCAUGCUGGGAAGCAAUCUGAAUGUCUACAUUGAGAGGUUUUUCUUGCAUCCUGGUAGAAGGGAAUUCUUUAGUUACCAUCCAAGCCUUGCACCACAGAGUAGAUUGCACUCUGUCCAUUGCAGGAAAUAUUUCUGAUGUAAUGCAGCUAAUUUCAAAUUUUGGGAUUACUCAAUUUGUUUAUGUCAACAUGAUGAGGAAUAUGGCAGCCCAUAGUGUAGCUAAACGAUGUUUGCUCCAUGAUUCCUCUAUAUAAUCCUUGAUGGAAAUUUCCCUUGUAACUUCUUUUAUGCCUGUGGAGAAGAAUACACCAGCUUGGUUGCUAAA